rnacentral:rRNA from 1 species
UACAGAGGUGCCAAGCGUUAGGCGGAAUCACUGGGCUUAAAGCGCGUGUAGGCGGGUCGUUAAGUGUCCGAGUGAAAUCCCACGGCUCAACCGUGGAACUGCCGGGCAUACUGGCGAUCUUGAGGCAUUCAGGGGCGAGCGGAACAAAUGGUGGAGCGGUGAAAUGCGUAGAUAUCAUUUGGAACGCCAAUGGUGGAAACAGCUCGCUGGGAAUGAUCUGACGCUGAGACGCGAAAGCCAGGGGAGCGAACGGG